GUGAGGUUCCCUGCUCAGCUCCUGGGGCUGCUAAUGCUUUGGGUUCCUGGAUCCGGUGGGAAUAUUGUGAUGACCCAGACUCCACUCUCUCUGCCCGUCACCAAUGGAGAGCCGGCCUCCAUCUCCUGCAGGUCUAGUCAGAACCUUUUACAUGGUAAUGGAUACACCUAUUUGUAUUAGUUCCUGCAGAAGCCAGGCCACUCUCCACAGCUCCUGAUCUGUAGGACUUCCAAUCAGUUUUCUGCCUUCCCACACAGGUUCUCCCCAGUGGG